rnacentral:rRNA from 1 species
UAGAGUUUGAUCCAUGGCUCAGAAUGAACGCUGGCGGCGUGCCUAACACAUGCAAGUCGUACGAGAAAUCUCCUGCUUGCAGGAGAGAGUAAAGUGGCGCACGGGUGAGUAACACGUGGGUAAUCUACCUCUGAAUUUGGGAUAACGUUCCGAAAGGGAUGCUAAUACCGGAUAAUAUCCGAGAGCCUGAGGGCAUUCGGAUCAAAGGGGGCCUCUACAUGUAAGCUCCCGUUUAGAGAUGAGCCCGCGUACCAUUAGCUAGUUGGUAAGGUAACGGCUUACCAAGGCUACGAUGGUUAGCUGGUCUGAGAGGAUGACCAGCCACACUGGAACUGAGACACGGUCCAGACUCCUACGGGAGGCAGCAGUGAGGAAUCUUGCGCAAUGGGGGAAACCCUGACGCAGCAACGCCGCGUGAGUGAAGGAGGCCUUCGGGUCGUAAAGCUCUGUCGAGUGGGAAGAACCUAUUUCGUGCUAACAUCACGAAGUAAUGACGGACCACCAAAGAAGCACCG